rnacentral:lncRNA from 1 species
GAGCAAGCGUGGGUGACCUGGGAAGGGCUCGCAGGUUUGGGUUUGGGUGAGGUGAGGUGCCUGUUGUCCUGACUAGCUCCUCGCUGGAGUCCCCAGCAUUCGUCCAGACCCAGUCUCAAAUCAAAAUCAACGUUCGGGGCGGGUGCGGUGACUCACGCCUGUAAUCCUAGCGCUUUGGGAGGCCGAAGUCAGGAGUUCGAGACCAGCCUAAACAACAUAGUGAAACCCCGUCUCUACUAAAAAUACAAAAAUUAGCCGGGUGGCGGGCGCCUGUAAUCCCAGCUACUUGGGAGGCUGGGGCAGGAGAAUCGCUUGAACCCGGGAGGCGGAGAUUGCAGUGAGCCGAGAUCACGCCAUUAUACUCCAGCCUGGGUGACAAGAGCGAGACUCCGUCUCGGAAAAAAAAAGAAAAAAGAAAAAUCAAAGCUCGUGCAAACCGAAGAUACCUCUUCUCCUGAUGCCUAUCCCAUCGAGAUAUUUAAAAGUCUGAAUGUGCAAUUUAUUGUUUCAUACAAUACAGCAGCGCCUCCCGUAACAAUGAAGGUAGACUUAAAUGUGAGAAUCCAGCUGUUUUCUUGAUCUGUAGUCCAAUGCUCUACCUGUGAGCUAUACCCCCUCCUGCAAUCCAGCUGCUUUCUUUCCUUUUCUUUUUUUUUUUUUUUUUUUUUUUUUGAGACAGAGUCUUGCUCAGUCGCCCAGGCUGGAGUGCAGUGGCGCGAUCUCGGCUCACUGCAAGAUCCGCCUCCUGGCUUCACGCCAUUCUCUUGACUCAGCCUCCGGAGUAGCUGGGACUACAGGCGCCCGCCACUACGCCCGGCUAAUUUUUUUGUAUUUUUAGUAGAGACGGGGUUUCACCGUUUUAGCCAGGAUGGUCUCGAUCUUCUGACCUCGUGAUCUGCCCGUCUCGGCCUCCCAAAGUGCUGGGAUUACAGGCGUGAGCCACCGCGCCCGGCCGCUGUUUUCUGAUAAACCAAACAUUAAAACAGAUU